GCGCUGCACCGUGGGCUGCUUGGUGCCUAGCUGACUCCUGCGCUAGGUCCUGUCUCAUCCUGUGGUGUACCAUUGGCCAUUGCCAUUCUCUCUGGUCUUUUAUCACCAUUUUUUUUGCCGCACGCCGCUGCUCAAGGGCCCGCGUAGACGGACGGUCCCAUUUGUCUGUUGGAUGGGUGUAUGCUGCGUGCGUCUGCCCCUCCCUCGCUGCCGGCGUACUGUGGCUGAUGCACGGACCACACCGACGUGCGAGCGCCGCGGCAUGGUCGCGCGCGAUAGGGCCCUGAGGACGAGGCGUGCGCGUCCACGAUCCUGGUGACGGCUGGAGGGAAGCCCCGGGAGCUGCCGUUCGCGCUGCUGGCGGAGCGGUGGAUGGUGGUGGCCUUGGUGGGGGCCACCGCGGCGCGGGAUGGGUAUGAACGCGGUGGCGGCGGCGAGCGAGCGGGAGAACACACUGCUCUCCUUUGGCCGCGCUGCCGACCACGCGGCCGUCGCCAUGGUCGAGUUCGACGUCCAGCUUGUUUAAGCUUGGACUCUCGUCGGCUCGUCUCGCUUCCUUCGACUGUACUCUGCUGCGAUCUAUUGUGGUGACCCUUGUUUGCUCGAUGGGCGACGCUGGUUCAGUUUGUUUCGACUUGCCGUUGUCGCCUGCGUCGACGCGUGUGUCUUUCUGUCCUUCGCGUUCAGGUUGUACGAUCUCGCCCGUUGCUGCGUUCACGUUCUGCUCGUUGCUUCGUCUCUGUUUUACUCAUCAAGGAGAUGGCAGCAGUAUAUACAAAAUAUAUCACUAAUUAUUUGUAGAGUUCAUUCUUGAUAGGAAAAAAA